rnacentral:rRNA from 1 species
GACGAACGCUGGCGGCGUGCUUAACACAUGCAAGUCGAACGGAAAGGCCCUGCUUUUGUGGGGUGCUCGAGUGGCGAACGGGUGAGUAACACGUGAGUAACCUGCCCUUGACUUUGGGAUAACUUCAGGAAACUGGGGCUAAUACCGGAUAGGAGCUCCUGCUGCAUGGUGGGGGUUGGAAAGUUUCGGCGGUUGGGGAUGGACUCGCGGCAUAUCAGCUUGUUGGUGGGGUAGUGGCUUACCAAGGCUUUGACGGGUAGCCGGCCUGAGAGGGUGACCGGCCACAUUGGGACUGAGAUACGGCCCAGACUACUACGGGAGGCAGCAGUGGGGAAUAUUGCACAAUGGGCGGAAGCCUGAUGCAGCAACGCCGCGUGCGGGAUGACGGCCUUCGGGUUGUAAACCGCUUUCGCCUGUGACGAAGCGUGAGUGACGGUAAUGGGUAAAGAAGCACCGGCUAACUACGUG